GGCGCUGUAGUGUAGCGGUUAUCACUCGAGAUUCUGAUCAGUUCUGAGUUCUCGUAACCCCGGUUCGAUUCCGGGCAGUGCCU